rnacentral:rRNA from 1 species
GACGUAGGGGGCCAGCGUUGUUCGGAAUUACAUGGGUGUAAAGGGUUCGUAGGCGGUGCGGCAAGUUGGGUAGUGAAAUCUCUGGGCUUAAACCCACGGAGGCUGCUUCCGGAAACUGCUGUGCUUGAGUGACGGGAGAGGCGCGUGGAAUUCCCGGGUGUAGCGGUGAAAUGCGCAGAUAUCAGGAGGAACACCGGUGGCGAAGGCGGUUCUCUGGGCCUUACCUGACGCUGAGGAGCGAAAGCAUGGGGAGCAAACAGG